AUGUCGUCGACGGGGGCGCGCAGGGGCGUUGGCAGCGGCGGCGGCGGCGGGCACUUCCCGGUGGGCCGGCGCCGCCACGUGGCGGUGGUCGACACCGGGUGCAGCUGCCGCCCGCGCCGCCCCAGGAUGCUGCUCAGCCUGCCGUCCUUCCUCAAGCCUUCCUCCGCGAGCAAGGCACCGGCGGCGCCGGCGAGGAGCACCAGCUCGUCCAGCCUCUUCCCGUCGUCCUCCUCCACCGCCUCCUUCUCCACCAGCUACGCCUCCUCGAACUGCUCCAACUACUACUCCUCCUACCAUGGCUUCGGCGCCGCCCCCAAGCUACAUCAGCAGCAAGAGCACCUUCCCUCCGCCAAGGAGGCGCCGGCCUCGCCGGUCAGGAGGCAGCCGGCGAGCAUGAAGAAGAAGCAGAAGAAGAGGUAUUACGCGGAGAACAAAGCAGCUAUGGCGGAAGCGGGGCCGGAGGAGGACGUGGGGCUGGCAGUGGAGAAGGACUCGUCGGACCCGCGCGCCGACUUCCGGGAGAGCAUGGUGCAGAUGGUGGUGGAGACGGGGCUGUGCAGCUGGGACGACCUCCGCAGCAUGCUCCGCCGCCUGCUCGCCCUCAACUCGCCGCGCCACCACGCCGCCAUCCUCACCGCCUUCGCCGAGCUCUGCGCCCAGCUAGCCUCGCCGCCCCCGCCGGCGACAUCGUCGUACCACUACCAGCUCUAG
rnacentral:rRNA from 1 species